CGGCGAAACUGCGAAUGGCUCAUUAAAUCAGUUAUUGUUUAUUUGAUAGUACCUUACUACAUGGAUAACCGUGGUAAUUCUAGAGCUAAUACAUGCUAAAAAUCCCGACUCACGGAGGGAUGUAUUUAUUAGAUUAAAAACCAAUGCCCCUCGGGGCUUUCUGGUGAUUCAUAAUAACUUCUCGAAUCGCAUGGCCUUGCGCCGGCGAUGGUUCAUUCAAAUUUCUGCCCUAUCAACUUUCGAUGGCAGGGUCUUGGCCUGCCAUGGUUACAACGGGUAACGGAGGGUUAGGGCUCGACCCCGGAGAAGGAGCCUGAGAAACGGCUACUACAUUCAAGGAAGGCAGCAGGCGCGCAAAUUACCCAAUCCCGACACGGGGAGGUAGUGACAAUAAAUACUGAUACAGGGCUCUUUUGGGUCUUGUAAUUGGAAUGAGUACAAUUUAAAUCCUUAACGAGGAACAAUUGGAGGGCAAGUCUGGUGCCAGCAGCCGCGGUAAUUCAGCUUCAAUAGCGUAUAUUAAAGUUGGUGCAGUUAAAAGCUCGUAGUUGAACCUUGGGCCUGGCUGGCCGGUCGCCUCAACGCGUGCACUGGUUCGGCCGGGCCUUUCCCUUUGGGGAGCCCUAUGCCCUUCACUGGGUGUAGUGGGGAACCAGGACUUUUACUGUGAAAAAAUUAGAGUGUUCAAAGCAGGCCUAUGCUCGAAUACAUCAGCAUGGAAUAAUAGAAUAGGACGUGUGGUUCUAUUUUGUUGGUUUCUAGGACCGCCGUAAUGAUUAAUAGGGACAGUCGGGGGCAUCAGUAUUCAAUUGUCAGAGGUGAAAUUCUUGGAUUUAUUGAAGACUAACUACUGCGAAAGCAUUUGCCAAGGAUGUUUUCAUUAAUCAGGAACGAAAGUUAGGGGAUCGAAGACGAUCAGAUACCGUCGUAGUCUUAACCAUAAACUAUGCCGACUAGGGAUCGGACGAUGUUAUUUUUUGACUCGUUCGGCACCUUACGAGAAAUCAAAGUC
rnacentral:rRNA from 1 species